AAAUACCACAAUUAUCACUGGGGGGGGUGGGGAGGGGUGGUUGAACAUGUCCAGAUGGAGACAAGAAAUGACAUCACAGAGGACCUGGAGGAUAAGUAGACACGGCUCAAGCAGGAGGAGCCAAUUGCAGGGCGCCAGCGAGAGGAAGCACUUCGGGAGGUGAGGCCCAGACCCGGAGGAGGCAGUGAGAAGAAGAGCAGCGGACCAACCCAACCCUCCAGCCCUUCGGAGAGGACACUGAGCCGAGAAGUGCCGAAACGCAACUCGUGAAGAAGAGGAAGAGGAGGGCGGUGGACCCCAACACAGGCAGAUGUCAAAGGAGAAGAUCUCUGCCGAGCAAGCUGGACUCCCCCGGGACCAUCAGACACAGAAGGAAGGAGGGGGCAAAGGGAAGGUGACCCCAUGAUGGAAUCCCCUGGGGGCAGAGAGGGCUGGGGCCCACGGACCCAACUCUUAGCUGUCUCUGGGUUAGGGAACUGGGGGAGUUCCAGCGGCAGAGGGAAGAGGAGCGGCGGUGAGCAGCAGAGCGUGGCGACCCUUCAGGAGGAGGACGGCAGCAGCGGUGGACCCCAGUACAGACAGAUGUCAAGCAGGAAGAUCUCUGCCGAAUAAGCUGGACUCCCCCGGAACGAUUAGCUGGAAGGAGUAGUAGGGGGUGGCAAGAGGACGAUGAAAUCCCACGGGGGCGGAGAUGCCCAGGACCCAUAGAGCCGACCCUCAGCUCUCCAGGGGGCAGGCAUUGUGGAUGGGGCAGGGAGGGGAUGGGUAGUGACCCCUGGAUUAGGUUAGAGUAGGGACUGGGGGAGUUCCAGUGGCAGAGGGAAGACGACCGGUGGAGGAGGUAAAUCGUCAGGACGACGGCAGCAGCGGUGGACUGCCAGAUGUCAAACAAGGAAGAUCUCUGCCAAAUAACCUGAUAGUCCCCCAGAACAAUUAGAUAACAAUAAUAAUGUUGGUAUUUGUUAAGCGCUUA